CAGGCAGAGUGGUGAGGCUUUUGUUGAACUUGAAUCAGAAGAUGAUGUAAAAAUGGCCCUGAAAAAAGACAGGGAAAGCAUGGGACACCGGUACAUUGAGGUGUUCAAGUCCCACAGAACCAAGAUGGAUUGUGUGUUGAAGCACAGUGGUCCCAAGAGUGCUGACAGCGCCAACGAUGGCUUCGUCGGACAUCGAGGACUCCCAUUUGGAUUCACAAAGGAAGAAAUUGUCCAGUUCUUCUCACGGUUGGAAAUCAUGCCAAACGGGAUCACAUUACCUGUGGACCCUGAGGGCAAGAUAACAGGGGAAGCUUUUGUACAGUCUGCCUCCCAGGAGUUAGCUGAGAAGGCUCUGGGGAAGCACAAGGAGAGGAUAGGGCACAGAUAUAUAGAAGUGUUCAAGAGCAGUCAGGAGGAAGUUAGGUCAUACUCUGAUCUCCCUCUAAAGUUCUUGUCUGUGCAGCGGCCAGGGCCCUGUGACUGCCCUGGCACAGUUAGGAGAUACAUUGGUAGAAGCAAGCCGGCCUGGAUAGGAUGUAGCCUGGUGCCUACAGUGAAGGCUACAGUGGCUAUAAAAAGUACAGAAGCCUCAGCGAUGGCUACGGCUUCACCACUGACCUAUUUGGAAGAGACCUCAGCUACUGUCUCUCUGGGAUGUAUGACCACAGAUAUGGAGAUGGUGAGUUUGCAGUGCAGAGCACCACUGGGCACUGCACCACAUGAAGGGGCUGCCAUACAUAGAGACGUGAGAAUGACAUUUACAACUUCUUCUCUCCACUCAACCCUGUGAGAAUGCAUAUCGAGAUUGGCCCAGAUGGAAGAGUGACCAGCCAAGCAGAUGUAGAGUUUGCCACUCACGAAGAGGCUGUGGCAACAAUGUCGAAAGACAGGACUAACAUGCAGCACAGAUUCAUAGAGCUCUUCUUGAAUUCAACAACAGGGGCCAGCAGUGCAGCAUACAGCAGCCAGGUGAUGCAAGGCAUGGCGUGUCAGCAGCCCAGGCCACUUACAGUGGGUUGGAGAGCCAGUCAGUCAGUGGCUGCUACGGGGCUGCCUACAGCGGGCAGUACAGCAUGGGUGGGUACGACUAGUUUUGUAGGAACAUUUAACUUUUUUCAAUCAAAUUUUCACAGGCAGCCAACAAGCAAUGAAGAGCAGUUAUAACUCUAGAGGAAGCUGUGGGGACCCGUUUUGCAGCAUGAGUUUGUGAAAUCUGGAUCAAAAAAAUUACCUCUUCAGUGUUUUCUCAUGCAAACUUUUCUUCUAGCAUGUGAUAUUGAGUAAACUAAAACUAUUUUCAGCUUUUC